rnacentral:lncRNA from 1 species
CAAAGGCCCAUCACAGCCCAAACACAUAAAGUGAAUUUUCAGAAAGGAUAUCAGCCGUUAGCUCAGUGUAAGACCUCCCAGAAUGUUCAGAAAAUAGAUCACUGAUAACAAGAUCAGUGAUUACAGAUCACUAACAGUGACAAGACUUAACUGAACCUUCAUAGGUUCCUUCAUUUAAUCCUUACUAUAACCCUGUUUUCAUUUCCAGUUUUUACUAAGAAGGAAAGUAAAGAUAAAAAUAUGUUUGAAGAGAUGGCCCCUGUGGAGGAUUGUCUAGCUAGGACUGAGUUCGUUUGAAUCACGAGAAAACCAGAAGCCAACAUUUAUAGUAUCUGUCCCUUUACCCAGACAAGGGCAUUGGAACUGAGAGCUGUGCAUCUGUCUCGUUUGUUUUCUGAAUCCAUUUUAAACCUUUUUACACUUGACACAGGCUGCGCUGUCUUUGAAAGUCACUGGUGAUCAGCUGGGUAUAUUUGUACAGGGCGGCUAUUUUUAGCACUGUACUGAGAGAGUAAAUUUUGUAACUUAUUACUUGACUUAACUAAGAUCUUCCCCCCACACACAAAUCCCUCUAAUGUGCUGGACAAUGUCUUUACGUUUCUCUCUUUUUAAAAUGAGACAACAAAAAUGACUUAAAAAAAAAAGGCUUCAAGAUUAUAAAUGAGAGGUUUAUGGUGAAUUGAGCAAGGUAUCCAGAUAUGGUACUGCGUCCUUUUUGUGACGGGAAAAAAGUACAUCAACAAACACUCAAAAA